UUGAUUUUCUGUCCUUUGGCAGAGUGUGUUCGAGGCUUCCAAUUCUUGAAUCGAUGGAGGCUGGCGCUGCGUUCUUCCAUCGGUUCUUCUUUCUUUGUAGUUCACGAUUGAUCAAUUCUUCGUGAGAUUCGUGUGAGCGCAUAUACAUACAGGAGAAAAACAAUUCAUUGUUAGAUUAUUAAUUGAUGAUUGCAAGAAGACAAGAUCAAUCAAUCAAUCUCCCUGAUUAGUUUCUUUCCUUUUUGUACGAGGAACAUCUCGUCUUCGCCGUGAAUCGCGUGGUGGCCGAAACUCUAGUAGCCAACUUCUCCAGACUUCUCCAGUCAUCGUCUGCGGCAAUUGCAGAUCGCCGGAGUGGCCUCCUCUGGCCAUAGAGAGGCCUUGCCGUUUGCCGCCGCUGUCGUCGGCAGUCAUGUGGCGGAUUGAAGCGCCGGAGGGCGCCGCUUCGACGCGCCUACAGAGGAGGGCGUCGUCAACCAUGGGGUGCCUCAGCCGCCUGCAUCGCGCGCUGGUGCUGCGCCGCUGGAGCGCUGUCGAGGCCGAGGGUCCUCGUGUCCUUGGGGCCGGAGGGAGGGUCAGGGACGGUGGAGCCGUCGAGUUCUUGGCCUAAUUGCUCUCUGGAAGAGGCGUGCGUGAUAACGUGUUAGAGAGAAUCGAGAGAGAGGAGCGAAUGGAAAACAGAUAUAUGAAUGAACAGUUAUUCUAUUGAUUGAAGAUUGGGGUAUUUAUACCCAGUUUACAAGGCGGUUACAAAAGGAGGCAGUUGCCAAAAGUGGCACCGGCGUAGCAGUGAUUAAUAGUUAAUUAAUCUAAUUAAUUAAUUCCUAACAGGAGGUACUGCUGAUGGCAUCUCCCCGUGUCUCCCCAGGCUGUACCUGACUGGCAGUGCCAUCCGUCGCAUGUCUGCAGCUGCAGGCAGCCCCAAGUCAAAAGAAUAUCCCCGAAUAUUUCCCCUUGUUGAUUAGAAUUCCAUCAAGUCCAAGGAGUCCCUGUGGGACUUGUAUGAGUGCUGGUGCAAGUAUUGGCGGAUAUCCCGUGACCGUGAAGAGAUGGUCCGCCGGUUCAGUUCAUUUGAGGCUACUGCACUGUGGGUGUACAAAAUGAACAACUCUGGUUGUUCGCAGGUGUCUCAACUGGGCCCUCAUGCAGAUAUGUCUAAGACUGAGUUUGCUCGGAUGUUUCCUCCACUACCUUCAGAUGAUGAUGAUGAUACGUUUUCUCGAAUACCUGAUGAUGAUGGAGAUGAUGAAGAUACAUUUCCUCCACUGCCUUCAGAUGAUGAUGAUGAUGAUGAAGAUACGUUUUCUCGAAUACAUGAUGAUGAUGGAGAUAUUGAUGGUGGUAUCUCCCCGUGUCUCCCCCGGCUCUCCCUGACUGGCGGCACCGUCCGUCCCAUGUCUGCAGCUGCAGGCAGCAGGGAUUGCGUCAUAUUCAUUCGGACAUCUAGCAGGCAUAUUGUUUAGUAAUGACAACUGGUUUAUGAUGAUUCAUGAUGUCGUAAUGACUCUGCCUUCAAUCAAAUUAAUUUCGCUGAGACCAAUAGUGGUAAAAAUGAUGGCCCUCCCCUCCCCUCCCCUCCCCUCCCCUCGUGUCGCCUCCCUUGGGCGACACCAGGGGCCCCUCAACCCUAGCGCCGCAGGCCACCCCUCGCGCCUCCUCUUGCCGCCGCUACCGCCGGCGUGGGCCGCGGUGGCGGCGGGCACGGCGUCGGAGGCACUUGGCGGGCGGAGGCUGCGGGAUCCCAUCUGAGGCGGCAGGGGCGGCACCUCUCGUGGGAGUCCGAGGGCGGCGGCUAGGGCGGCGACCCUAUGCCACGUGGCGGUGGCUGCAGUUCCAUGGCUGACGGAGCGGCGGCCCUGAGAUGGACGGCGGCGGUGGCAGCGCCCCAUUCGGCAGGGUUAGCUGAUCUGUGCAGAGAUGGUGACGGCGGCGGCUGCGGAUCCAACGCCCCGAUCGGAUCCGCCGCGGGGUGGCCUUGCACGGACCGACGACGCGUGGAGGGACCGGUGAGGAGAUGAUGGAUCUCUGUCAGAGUACCGACGAGGGCGUACGUCUUCUUAGCGAGGCUUCGCUCGGUUCCAGCCAACCGAGAGAGAUCGGGACGACGUGGCUUCCCGUGAAAAUCGCGCCUCACUGCGGUCUUCGCGGACGAUGGCUGCGUCUCGGACGUCGUUCCCUUCUCGAGGCAUCGUCGUUGCAGGUCACGUCAACCUGAUCUGGAUGUUCCAGGGAAAACCCUAGAUCUGGGUCUACCGGAUCAGACGAUGACGGCGCUUUCGGUGUCGUUCUCCCUCCCGGGGGCAUCGUUUUGGAGGAAGUGCUGGCUGGAGGGGACAAGAGGAAGAGCGGUGUUUCAUCUUGCCCAUUUAUGGCGGCGGAUCUCGGCGAUGUGGCGCAGUGGAGACUCGGCGCCCGACGCACGAAGAUGGACUCGCGCAGGAUGGUGACGUUGUCAGGCGUCGUGGUGGCGUCGACGGCAGCUAGGCCGGGCAAGGUAGAUGC